rnacentral:tRNA from 1 species
GAAGGUAAAAGAAAUAUUAACAAUUUGCUAUUUAGAAAGUUAGAAGCUUUCUCUAGGUAUUUCUUU